UUAGAACUCAGUUACUGUAGUGCAUUCUGGGAUUACCUCCCAUGUGUUCUUGGUAUACAAGUAUACAAGUUGUUCUGUCUAUUGGAACAGCCUUUUUGCCAGAGCUAUUAAGUGAAAUAUUGCUUAAUUAUAGUAGUUAUUGGAGUCAAAAUAAAAAAUGAAAAGUUUGUAAAAUCAUGUUUAUCACUGAUUGCCUUUCUAGCUUUUUGGGUGAUUGUGACUGUUUGGAUGAAGUGCUGUCCACAACACAAAACAGACCUGACAAAAGCAGGUUUGCCCCACAGACCUGUCAAGACCUGACCUUGCUCAUGGACUCAGCACUGAUCCUUCUAAAGGCCUGGAGAAGCAGCUGCAUACUAUAAAAGCAUCCAUAACUAAUUAAUUUGUAACUACCCAGUACAUUUAGCCUACAAUGAUUAAAACAAAUAUUAAUUAACAGUAGAUUUUAAUUAUAAAAUUAUCAAUACUAACUGUAUAUCGUUUUGCAAAUAAUUACCUGUGCAAUCUUAUUAAUUCAUCACACUCAAGCCAGACCUCUUGUUUGAAGUUGUGAUAUGAUAACUGGGAUUAUAAUAGCAUAUUUAUUCAUAUUAGUAUGAACUAACAUUGUAGGAUGUGAUUAUGCAAACCAAAAACCUCAACCACUAUUAUUAUUUUUUCUAUACUAUUUUUCUAUACUAUUUUGUCUUUUUUUUUAAUGUUGCUACACUAAUACUGACAAAAUCACUGAAAUUUUGUGAAAUCACUAUUACACUUUACAUUUAUUCAUUUAGCUGAUGCUUUUAUCCAAAGAAAUUUACAAAUGAGGAAAUACAACUUAAGCGAUUCAUCAUAAGAAGGCUGAAACAUGAGAAGUGCUGCAGUAUAAAGACCCAAGAUUGUUCAGAGAAGUACUAAAUUGUUACAAUUUUUACAAAAAGUCAAAAGUCAGAGUUAAAAACAUGAAUAGUAAACACCGCUAAGUAAGGGUUAAAGGUUAAAAGUGCACCUCAGGGUUGGCAGAGCCUGCUGCUUUGUCUCUUUAUGUUGUUUCUCUCUGUCUGUUGAGUAACUUGUGGGGUAUUCCUAAUUCUGUCACUUGGACUUGCUCUAUUGUUAUUUAGUGGAUUGCUGUAAUG
rnacentral:lncRNA from 1 species